rnacentral:hammerhead_ribozyme from 1 species
AUCCAGCUGAAGAGUCUCAAAUAGGAUGAAACGCACAUCCUGGAU